UGCACGGGCUGCGCUCCCCGCCGGCUCCGCAGCCCGGGUCAGGUUUCCCCCCGCCCCCUUGUGCAGAAACUCUCCUGGGGUUACAAAGGCGUUGGCCACAAUUGGAAAUGAAGUAUGUGCUGGAAGAAAAAAGGCUGCACGUGUUCCUGUUGGAGAAAUGUUGAGCUGUUGCAGAUCUCUCUCUUGCUGUUUUUUCUCCAGGCAGGUUGAUCAUUUUCCAGGUCAGAGCGGUCACACAAGCUUAAUGCAUCACUUUGUUCAACCGAUUUGGAGACAACUGCCAGGACGCUUCUAAUUAAACAGUGAUCCAAAAGCUA